UUUAUGGAAAUGAAAUAAUUUAAAUCAUUUAUGGAAAAUGUUUAAAAUGCUUUAAUGGUGGGAGAAAUUGUGCCAACAGUUGCCUCAGUGUAAGUUUGGAGUAGCUGUAUCAACAGACUGCCAGAUAAAACAAAUUUAACACAAACAGAGUUUAGAUUAUGCUUAUUUCUGUUCACACUGGAUCGAUCUUGACUCUAGUUACUUUGGGAGAGCCCUUUUAAAGACAUAAAAUCAUCAAGUGCUAUGAUGUAACUAUUUGGAUAAUUACAGUAUCAUGUCCUUCUUCCAGGAUCGAUUUUCUUUAUAUAUUUAGAUAAAUAAAUUUCAAUGGACAAUGUCUAUGAAUACCUCCAAACUGUUUUCUCACUCCACAAUGGCAGACUGUGCUUGUACAAUAUCUUUUUGCAGAAAUAUGUCUGAGAGCCUGAGAUGUAAGGUCAGAGUAUAGGAUAUUUCUGUAUUGCAGGUGGGGCUUAUUCACCCAUGCAGUGAAGUUUUGUCGAUCAGACAUUCUCAGGAAUAUAUUUUCUUUCUAUACAGGGCAGGUUGUGCACAGUCAGAGAUAAUAUUUUUGAAAAUUGUAAUUUGAUAGAGUAUAUAACCUUGAUAGAGUAUUGUAACCUUCCUGAUCAUUUUGUGAUGUAAAGGAUGAAGGAUGCUGAACACAAACAGUGUGUGCAAACCACCUUUGUGCUUGGGGGAUAACGAACCCAGAAGUUUGGAAAAAAUCUUCUGUGCAGCCAUCUUUAUGAUUUUCCUAGUUCCCAGGCAGAGAUGAUGCCGGGUGGGAGCAGAGCAUCUUGCAGGCGGUCCAUGCACAGGCAGCGAAGCCAGCGAUGACUCUGCCUCUGCACAGCGCACACCGCGUCUCACACCCAGCUCAGCUCUCCGGCCGGUUGUAGAACAGCUAUAUGAGCUUGGACAAAGCACUUUAAUUUUGUCUCCUCGCAUUCUUAUCACUUCAACAAUUCACUUUCUGCCACUUAGAAGAAAUUACUUAUUUCUCCAGCGAGUUCUGGCUGUGGCAUGGACUUUCCAACACAAAUAAGAAAUAAUAUUCUGUCAUUUUUCAGCUGUAAUACUCUGCCAUUAAAAAAAA